rnacentral:tRNA from 1 species
UGCGGGGUGGUGUAAUCGGUAACACGCCGGGCUCAUAACCCGAACGCUGCGGGUUCGACUCCCGCUCCCGCUA